rnacentral:rRNA from 1 species
UGGCGGACGGGUGAGUAAUGUCUGGGAAACUGCCUGAUGGAGGGGGAUAACUACUGGAAACGGUAGCUAAUACCGCAUAACGUCGCAAGACCAAAGAGGGGGACCUUCGGGCCUCUUGCCAUCGGAUGUGCCUAGAUGGGAUUAGCUAGUAGGUGGGGUAACGGCUCACCUAGGCGACGAUCCCUAGCUGGUCUGAGAGGAUGACCAGCCACACUGGAACUGAGACACGGUCCAG